rnacentral:rRNA from 1 species
AACGAACGCUGGCGGCAUGCCUAACACAUGCAAGUCGAACGAGAACUUCGGGUCUAGUGGCGCACGGGUGCGUAACGCGUGGGAACCUGCCCUUAGGUUCGGAAUAACUCCCCGAAAGGGGUGCUAAUACCGGAUAAUGUCUUCGGACCAAAGAUGUAUCGCAUUUGGAUGGUCCCGCGUUGGAUUAGCUAGUUGGUAGGGUAAAAGCCUACCAAGGCGACGAUCCAUAGCUUGUCUGAGAGGAUGAGCAGCCACACUGGGACUGAGACACGGCCCAGAAUCUUACGGGAGGCAGCAGUGGGGAAUAGUGGAAAACGGGCGAAAGCAUGAUCCAGCAAGGACGCGAAAGUGAUGAAGUCAUGAGGGAAGUAAAGCGCUUUUAACCGGGAUGAUAAUGACAGUACCGGGAGAAUAAGCCCCGGCUAACUCCGUG